UACGUAGGGUGCAAGCGUUGUCCGGAAUUAUUGGGCGUAAAGGGCUCGUAGGCGGUCUGUCGCGUCGGGAGUGAAAACUCAGGGCUUAACCCUGAGCCUGCUUCCGAUACGGGCAGACUAGAGGUAUGCAGGGGAGAAUGGAAUUCCUGGUGUAGCGGUGAAAUGCGCAGAUAUCAGGAGGAACACCAGUGGCGAAGGCGGUCUCUGGAACGGUACUGACGCUGAGGCGCGAAAGCGUGGGGAGCGAACAGG
rnacentral:rRNA from 1 species